GGUCGUUUAGCUCAGUCGGUUAGAGCAUCGUGCUAAUAACGCGAGGGGCGCAGGUUCGAGCCCUGCAUCGACCA
rnacentral:tRNA from 1 species